UACGGAGGGGGCGAGCGUUAUUCGGAAUUAUUGGGCGUAAAGGGCGCGUAGGCGGCUUGAUGUGUCAAAGGUGAAAUCCCUCGGCUCAACUGAGGAACUGCCUUUGAAACUGUCUGGCUUGAGUCCGGGAGAGGUGAGUGGAACUGCGAGUGUAGAGGUGAAAUUCGUAGAUAUUCGCAAGAACACCAGUGGCGAAGGCGGCUCACUGGCCCGGUACUGACGCUGAGGUGCGAAAGCCAGGGGAGCAAACAGG
rnacentral:rRNA from 1 species